UACGAGGGGGGCAAGCGUUGUCCGGAAUCAUUGGGCGUAAAGCGCGCGUAGGUGGCCUCAUAAGUCCGCUGUGAAAGUCAAAGGCUCAACCUUUGAAAGCCGGUGGAUACUGUGGGGCUAGAGUACGGAAGAGGCGAGUGGAAUUCCUGGUGUAGCGGUGGAAUGCGCAGAUAUCAGGAGGAACACCAAUAGCGAAGGCAGCUCGCUGGGACGUUACUGACACUGAGGCGCGAAAGCGUGGGGAGCGAACAGG
rnacentral:rRNA from 1 species